rnacentral:sRNA from 1 species
GUCUCAACUUACUAACUUUGAGAUACUUAGGCCUGUAGUCCUAUACGCAGUAAACCCAGUUGUGUUCGGCAAUGGUGCAACCGUACUGCCCCCACUAUUCCAAACUGAAAGCUACUCCUAUUUUGCAGUUGCUUUACAGAGUCAUGGUAUACAUUUUUUUAAAUUUUUUUAAUGCAUGAACCUUACAAAUUUAGGCCCUAUUGAUACAUUCCAAUCAUUUAACCUCUCUUGGUACAAUGCUUCAUCAUCUACUAAUGGUAGUUUUAGUCGGAAUAACUCCCCUUCUGAGGUAACACUUCUUACAAGUAUUAAUACUAAACCAUUUAUAUCUAAUAAUUAUGAUAGUUCGUAAAAUUUACUAUUUCUACCCGUUGGUAUGCAAAAAAUUCAAGAGCGUGAAAAAAUUGAAAAAAACUUGUAUGAAUGAAACAUACAUACGAUAUAUCUUUUUUUAGUUGAAACUUUGUUGUAAACCGAAACCAUUAGCUACUUCAGGGCAAUAGCACAAUUCGAAUAGGUGGCGCUACCCUCGAUCCUGCUGUUUACAACAUGAAUUUGGAGUACUCAUACUCGGACAAUACGCCAAUCAAACUGCAGAUUACAGUUCCAUGUAAGAUAAUUUUGUGGUACUCGGCAUUUGCCUCUAGCUUGUUGCCCAUGUUUGGAUCAAAAAAUAUUAACCCGGAUAAGAAGUUGGCUAAACUUGGGCGAGAGUAGGGCAAAACUUUAGGCUGCAUCAAAGUUAAACUCAAGUUUAACCAAAUUCUUGCCAAUUUUUGGCCAAAACUUCUAAUAUUUCGUUUCAAACUUGGCAAGAGUUGGGUGAAACUUAGGUUUAAUUGAACUCCAAAUUUUGCCAAAAUCUUGCCCAAGUCUCGCCCAAAUUUUGCCAAUUUCUGCUUCAAAUUAAUAUUUUUUGGGCAAGAAGCUGAAGCCAAAUGCCUAGUAGUUUAUCAGAAAAACAACUUCUUUCAGGGAUACUGACUAUUGGACACCAUAUGCAGACUAAAUGCCAAUUUUUGCAAUUCAUUUGAAUAAAUAUAUGAACAUUCCGAACCUCUUGAUCUGUUAACCUUUUUAAAAACACAUUUUUACACAAAUUUUUAUUUUCGUACUUUUUGAACGGUUGUCUUACUUUUUUCAUACAAUCUCAAAAAUCAAGCACCAUAGACCAAUAGUUUUUUCAAAACAGCGCUCCAGAUGAAACUUACUAUUUUGAGAAUAGAUUGUAUGGCACAUGUGUAAAUACUGAACUCAAACACACCCACGGAAAUUGGUCUAACACCCUAUAUUAGUGUAGAAACUAAGAAGGUAUUAAGCAUUUUUCUUAAUCCAAAAUUUCUUAUCAAACCGAUAAACUUAAAUUUUUCAUUGUCUUUCCACACUCUCCUCGUGUCUAGCAUUAUUUGAACUAUUUAACACCCACUCGUAUAAAGGCAGUACAUUUCUCCAACUAGCUUCAGUACUCCUCUAUUAUUCAUUCCCCAUAUAAUUCUAAUUUCAGAUAAUUUCAUACAAUUUCAGAAAUACCAAGCACACAACCAAUCCUAAAAUUAAAAAUGAUUUUACAAAUAUUCUAGGAGAAUCGUGGGCUUAAGUUAAAUUUUUGUAUUUCAGCAACUCUUGAAUGUUUACCAAGUGACCCAAAAACAUUCUUGUUCGCCUAUUCAAAUGAUUUGGAGCCCAAUGUAGUUGAACUAACAUUUGAUGUCGUGAAAAUUUACAUAGAGGAUGAUAACUACAACACGUUUGCACGCGUUCGAUUUGAUACCCGCCAAGAGGAAGAAAUCAAUUACUAUUAUAGCCUCAAGUAAGUUUUUGUACAAGUAAAGUUUAAUUGGUAUCAAGUUAGAGAGUUAAAUACAUCGAUUCUUGCCCACCUUCCCGAUCCUUCCCUUGGAUUCAGAAGCAGUUCAAAUGGAAGUGACUCGUUGAAAAUUGUUGAGGUUUUGUGAUAUAGAUCAGAACCUAACAUUAAAAAUAUAAAAAAGUUCAGAAAUUUUACAAUAGCACUCAAUUUUCCACUUGCGGAUCCAUUGUUCUAAUACUAUCAAAGCGAAACCCAAACGAGGUUGAAAUUACCAAUCUAGUUGCCAAAAUUCGAUCCCAUCAUGGAAUAGUUCAUGUAAUUUCUUCAAAUACUCCAUCAGGCGGAUCCCAACCACUUACUCUCUAUGACCUCUCAUCUAAAACAAAUGGGCUAGCCGAUUUCCGGAAUGAUGAUGAAUUUGACGAGGUGACACUUUUUGUAAUGGAUUCUUUCCUAAUUUUUUUUCAGUCUGUCAUACCAUUUGCUGGGCUGAACUAUCCCAUAGUUAAUUACGCGGUGAAUCCAUUAGUAUCCGGCAAUGGCUCCACUGUACUGCCUCCACUAUACCAAGCUCAUCCCAGCCAAGCCAAGUUCACAGUUACUGUACAGAAUCAUGGUAUACAAUCUUAAUACGACAACGCAAAAUUCUGCAAAUGCGUAUUGCACAACAUAUUUGACGCACAAAAUAUCUCAUAGCAAAAACUACAGUAAUUUUUUUAAUGACUAAUGUAGUUUUUGUGUCGACUUACGGGGCUCGAAUUUUGAAGUGAACUUCUCUUCGAAUAGUGGUAACGGUAUUCCAUUUUUUUUGUUUCUUCGUAUUAUUUCCUCAUAUUUUUUGCCUAAUUUUAAUACUCUAUCCAUUAUUAAAUUAUUUCAAUUCUAUUCGAAAAUCAAGCCCGUAAAUCGAAAAAAGCGCUACAGUAGACAUUUUGAUUAAUUAUUGCUGUUUUCGCUACAAGAUAUUUUGCGCGUCAAAUAUGUUGUGCAAUACGCAUUCUCAGAGAUUUUGUGUUCCUGUAAUAUAUAAAAACUUUAUAAAUCUACAUUAAGGUCCCAUUGAUACAUUUCAAUCAUUUGAGCUUUUUUGGUACAACGCUUCAUCGUCUACCAAUGGUGGUCACGGUCUAGUUAAUCUGGUACAGUUUGUUUAAAUAUAUGCUGUUUUGUUGGCCUUCCGACAGUUGCGUAGAAUAAUUUUUUAAACAUCUUUUCAGCGAAAUGGCACGAUUGAAUAUGAUUGGUUGACUCUCGAUGCUGCUAUCUACAACAUGACACUUGAAUACUCAUACUCGACUAAUACCCCAUUCAAAAUGCAGAUUAGACAAUACGUGAUGAGGUAAGAUACAAUUUGAGAUAGUUCAUCUAAAAAAUAAUAUUUUUCAGGGAUAUUGACCAAUGGACACCAUAUGCUGACUGAAUAUCAACUUUCGCUAUUCGACAAACUUUAAUAAAUAAAUAUAUGAACAUGAAUCAUAAAUUUUUUCAAAUUUCUUAUCAGUUCCGAAAUACUCAAAACAUUUUCAUCGCCUGACUUCCUUUUUUCCGUCUCUUGUAUUACCACCACAAGCAUCACAUUGGUAUAAAGUCUUAGUACUUAUUUGAUAAGACAUUAUAUUUCUUCCCAUUGCGUCAGUACUCCUCUAUUAUUCAUUCCCCUUACAGUCCCAUUUUCAGACAGAAUCAGUUGCACUCAACCAGUUCUAAAAUUAAAUAUGAAACUAAAAUUUAAAUUUAAAAUAAUUUCAGAGAUAUUUCAGGAAAACUUUAGGUUUAUAUUUUUUAAGUUAUAUAUUUCAGAAACCCUUGAGUGCCUACCAGCUGACCCGAAGACAAUUUUAUUCGCUUAUUCAAAUGAUUUGGAGGCCAGUGUUGUUUCACAAUCUGCCAGAGCUCUGUUUGUAGGCUUGGGCUUUAGUGUAAAAAAAUUUGCAAACGUUCGAUUUGACACUAGCCAAUCUGCAGAAAUAUACUACAGUGAUAACUUCAAGUAAGUGUUUAUACAUGUGCAAGAAUAUAUUUAUCCGACAUUUUUAGACAGUUCAACACAUCAGUGAAUGCCAACCUUCCCGAUCCAUCUCUUGGAUUUAAAAGCAGUUCAAUUGGUAGUGACUCGUUGAAAAUUGUUGAGGUAAACAUCCGAGGCUCUAGAGAGAAGGUUCCGGCGAAGGCGAUGUUUCAGCGCUUCUGUCGAUGCUUCUGCUUUUACAUAUCAAAAUAAUCUCAUUUUUAGAAUUUUUACGACAUCUCACCAUUCUCUCUUUGCGGCUCUAUUGUUGUAAUUCUCUCAAAGCGAAAUCCAAAUGAAAAUGACAUUACCAAUCUAGUGACUAAAGUUCGAUCGCAUCAUGGAAUGGUUCAUGUAAUUUCAUCAAAUACUCCAUCAGGUGGAUCUCAACCACUUACCCUCUAUGACCUCUCAUCUAAAACAAAUGGAUUAACCGAUUUUCGAAAUGAUGAUCAAUUCUACAAU